rnacentral:rRNA from 1 species
UAUGUAACGGGGCUAAGCCAGUUACCGAAGCUGCGGAUGUGCAAUUUAUUGCAUGUGGUAGGAGAGCGUUCUGUAAGCCUGUGAAGGUGGCUUGUGAAGGCUGCUGGAGGUAUCAGAAGUGCGAAUGCUGACAUGAGUAGCGUUAAAGGGGGUGAAAAGCCCCCUCGCCGAAAGCGCAAGGUUUCCUACGCAACGUUCAUCGGCGUAGGGUGAGUCGGCCCCUAAGGCGAGGCAGAGAUGCGUAGCUGAUGGGAAACAGGUCAAUAUUCCUGUACCGAUUGCAAGUGCGAUGUGGGGACGGAGAAGGUUAGCUCAGCCAACUGUUGGAUAUGUUGGUUCAAGCGUGUGGUCGUGUCUCUUAGGCAAAUCCGGGAGAAUUAGAUGAGGCGUGAUAACGAGUCUGCUUGCAGACGAAGUGAGUGAUACCCUGCUUCCAAGAAAAGCCACUAAGCUUCAGCUUGUAAUUGACCGUACCGCAAACCGACACUGGUGCGCGAGAUGAGUAUUCUAAGGCGCUUGAGAGAACUCUGGAGAAGGAACUCGGCAAAUUGACACCGUAACUUCGGAAGAAGGUGUGCCUUUAGUAGGUGAACCAUUUACUUGGGGAGCCCAAUGAGGCCGCAGAGAAUCGGUGGCUGCAACUGUUUAUUAAAAACACAGCACUCUGCAAAGACGAAAGUCGACGUAUAGGGUGUGACUCCUGCCCGGUGCUGGAAGAUUAAAUGAUGGGGUGCAAGCUCUUGACUGAAGUCCCAGUAAACGGCGGCCGUAACUAUAACGGUCCUAAGGUAGCGAAAUUCCUUGUCGGGUAAGUUCCGACCUGCACGAAUGGAGUAAUGAUGGCCACACUGUCUCCUCCAGAGACUCAGCGAAGUUGAAAUGUUUGUGAUGAUGCAAUCUCCCCGCGGAAAGACGGAAAGACCCCAUGAACCUUUACUGUAGCUUUACAUUGGACUUUGAACAGAUCUGUGUAGGAUAGGUGGGAGGCUUUGAAGAGUGGACGCUAGUUUGCUUGGAGCCAACGUUGAAAUACCACCCUGGUGUGUUUGAGGUUCUAACCUUGGUCCCUUAUCGGGAUUGGGACAGUGUAUGGUGGGCAGUUUGACUGGGGCGGUCUCCUCCCAAAGUGUAACGGAGGAGUUCGAAGGUACGCUAAAUACGGUCAGAAAUCGUGUUGAUAGUGCAUUGGCAUAAGCGUGCUUGACUGCGAGACUGACAAGUCGAGCAGGUACGAAAGC